UACAGAGGUCUCAAGCGUUGUUCGGAUUCAUUGGGCGUAAAGGGUGCGUAGGCGGCGCGGUAAGUGAGGUGUGAAAACUCCAGGCUCAACCUGGAGACGCCACCUCAUACUGCGGUGGCUAGAGUCCGGUAGGGGAGCAUGGAAUUCCUGGUGUAGCGGUGAAAUGCGCAGAUAUCAGGAGGAACACCAGUGGCGAAGGCGGUGCUCUGGGCCGGUACUGACGCUGAGGAGCGAAAGCGUGGGGAGCAAACAGG
rnacentral:rRNA from 1 species